UACGGAGGGGGCGAGCGUUAUUCGGAAUUAUUGGGCGUAAAGAGCUCGUAGGCGGUUUGUCGCGUCUGCUGUGAAAUCUGGGGGCUCAACCCCCAGCCUGCAGUGGGUACGGGCAGACUAGAGUGCGGUAGGGGAGAUUGGAAUUCCUGGUGUAGCGGUGGAAUGCGCAGAUAUCAGGAGGAACACCAAUGGCGAAGGCAGAUCUCUGGGCCGUAACUGACGCUGAGGAGCGAAAGCAUGGGGAGCGAACAGG
rnacentral:rRNA from 1 species